GGCCCGCCUCCCGCCUGCGGGGCUGGGGAGCUCGCCCAGAACCCCGCCGGCCUCGCUUCCCCGCCUUCGGCCUGAGGUACUCCGCCUGCGGCUUUCGGCCACGCCCUCCAUGGCGGCUGGGGCUCUACGGCCCUGGGACGGGAGGUGCCCGCAGUGCCAGGCCACCUCUCCCAGCAGCUCUCGCCGUUGCUUCCGGAACACGGGACCCAUCAGAAAGGGAAAAUUGUUUGAGCUAACAAACAAAAACGAGGUGACAGAGAUUGGCGUGGGUAGCUGGAGGCUGAAAAAGCGAGCCUUGAACCACAUGCACCUGCUCGGGGAAUGGCUGUGCGCAGUAGGGUCAAUAGGGUCGGAAUUCCGAUGACAGCGAUGAAGGCGUCUUGUUAACGAGGAGACUUUUGGAGCGCACCGAGCAUGGGGGCUGGUUGCCCAGGAUGCCAGGGGCUGGAGGCUGAAGCAAUCACCAGUGGCCAGUGACUCUAUCAAUCAUGCCUGUCAUGAAGCCUCCAUAAAACCCCAAAAGGACAGGGUUUGGAGAGCUUCCAAGUCGGUGAACACGUGGAGAUCCGGAAGAGUGGCGCGCUUGGAGAGAACAGGGAAGCGCCGCAUCCUUUCCCAAUGCGUCCGGCUCCUCUGGCUGUUCCUCAUUUAUAUCCUUUUAUAAUAAACCGGUGACUUAGUAAAUGUUUCUCCUGAGUUCUGUGAGCCACUCUGGCAAAUUACUCAAACCCAGGAAGGGAAGGAGUCCCGGGACCUGGGCCUGCAGCUGGCACGUGGAGGGGGCUCUUGUGAGACUGAGACCUGUGGAAGCGGACGCUGCCUCCAGGAACAGGGUCAGAGUGGAGUUGACCUGCAGGACACCCAGCUGGUGUCACAGCACUUCUUGAUGGUGUGCAGGACCACCUCCCCCCCUGAUAUUGGAAUUGGGUGAUCAGAAACUUGAAUGAUCAACUCACCUAUAAUCAGACCUUCCACAAAAUAGUGUAUAGCCCAAUGUUUAAGAAUGCAAGCUCAGAUACCUGGAGAUACUUCACACUUAUGAGCUGUGUAACCUUAAUUAAGCAAGUUGUUUACCUUGUGUCUUCUCCUAUCUGAGGAUGGACAGGCUUCAUCUCAUAGGAUAAAAUGAAAUAUAAUACAUGUGUACAUAAGUACUAACACAGUUACUAAUUAAGAGAAACUUCAGGAUACAAUCAUAGCAAUCCAGUAAUAUAUAUUUUUUUAAUUUUAAGAGGUAAUGUAAGAUACUUUCCUUUUAUUUAAUCUAAGGUAUCUUGACAUGUAAAUUUCUACAUUAAUCAAAUGAUGUUUAAAGAAUUAAUCUGUAUGUUCAUGCCUACUUACUUAAGUUAAACAUUGAAAAUAUUUUCAAUUACUGCUCAGGCCGUUUUUGAAAGCACUUUAACCAGUCCUUUAUCAGGAAGAAGAACCUAAUUCAGGACAAGGUGGUUAACAGAAGCACUUUUAAAUAGGUUAUAAAUUGUAGCCAUUUGGCUCUUGGGAGUUUGCAAACAGGGGCAUUUAUAUUUGGGGUAAAAAAUAGAAAAAAGAAAAAAAAAGUAAUGCUCUUUGGGCAGUGUUUCAUAGUCACCUGGAAUGCUGUUUAAGAAUCAAGAUUUCUGACUUCCACUUAAUAUUUACUGAACAAGAACGUGACUGAGAUCUGCAUUAACAAGUUCCACAAGAGAAUCUUAGGCCUAUAGUCACUCGAGAACAACUGCCUCAAGGGAAGACCUCUGUUUGAGUUUAGACCUAAAAACUGCUGACAACCUUUAAACACACAAAAUAUCUUUAGGAGAGAAAUGUUCAGGGGCAAAUACUAAGCAGUGAAAUCAUACUCUUAAGCCCUCUCAAGUCUGUCCCAGUAAGCCCUGGAGUCUUGAUAUUCAGAUGACUUAGGGAGGAAAAUUAAAAGUAGCAACAAUCUGAAAAUCCUCAGUAAAGUUCAUUCUUGGUCUUCUCUUCCUAAAUUUGUUUUCAAUUCUAUUAGAUUUAAUCACUAAGCAAGACCAAAAGAGAACUUUAUUUUACAUGACUUUAUUUUACAUUUAAAAUCAUUUUAUGCUUUACUUAAAAAAAAAAAACUCACUGUUUUUAAUAUUCCUAAAAGCAUUUUAACCAAAAUCUUGAUUUAGGAAGACUUAAGACAUUUUGCAUUAUUUUAAAUAUUUCAUUUUCUCAGUAAUUAUUAAAAUAAGUUCACAAUUGGGGUUUCAAAUGUCCUACUCAUAUCUGUUUUGUUCUCAUUUCAUACUUUAUCAAUCCCAUAAUGUGCAUACAGAAGUGAAGGUGAUAUAAAUGUUAGCUAUUUCAGACAUAUCAAUAAUCAGCUCUUAAUCUAACUACUAUUUCAUUCACUCAGAAAUAGCAUUUAGACAUAAAAACCAAUGUUACUUUAUAAAAUAACCUUUGGUUAAUUUACACAAAUCUAACAGCAUGUUGCGUAAGUUUUGAGUAAUAACGAGUUUCACUAUCAUUUUAGUUUUUAAUAUAUGUCAGCAAGGCUGAGAACAUCAUGUAGUUCAUUCUUCUGAAGGAAGUUAUAUAAUAAAAGUGUAGUGCCUUUGAACAUGAAAAACAUCCUGAAGGCCAGUCCUAUGAAGGAACUGAAAGGUAGGAGAGAUUCCAGAGACUCUCUGCUCAUUUUCAGUAUGUAGAGUGACUAGUUUAAGUCACUUUAUUUGAAGAUUUUGUGAAGAAAACCGUUGUCCAUAUUGUGCCAUUGAAUGAAGCUACCACAAGAAUUUAGAUAUUGGUCCGAGGCUACAUAAUGGGUCAUCAAAAUAGAACCUGUCACAUAAGUGAGUUAAUUCCCUUGCCAAGUAAGGGUCCCAACUUCACUUCCCCCAUUUAUAAAAAGAAAAGGUGGCCUGGCCAGCGCCAUUCAGGAUUCUCUGCUAACUGUAAAAUGUGGAUUGAUUUUCUUGUUUCUUAUAGUCCAUGUGUAUAUAAACUUUCAGUUCUUCAAAUCAAAAAUUUUUGCACAUAACCAUGCCGGUGUAUUACCCUUAGUUUAAAAAUGUACAACUAGAUAAAUAAAAACUAUUGUUUCUUCAAUAUUA